rnacentral:rRNA from 1 species
CCUACGGGAUGCAGCAGUGGGGAAUAUUGGACAAUGGGCGCAAGCCUGAUCCAGCCAUGCCGCGUGAGUGAAGAAGGCCUUAGGGUUGUAAAGUACUUUCAGCGGGGAGGAAGGGAGUAAAGUUAAUACCUUUGCUCAUUGACGUUACCCGCAGAAGAAGCACCGGCUAACUCCGUGCCAGCAGCCGCGGUAAUACGGAGGGUGCAAGCGUUAAUCGGAAUUACUGGGCGUAAAGCGCACGCAGGCGGUUUGUUAAGUCAGAUGUGAAAUCCCCGGGCUCAACCUGGGAACUGCAUCUGAUACUGGCAAGCUUGAGUCUCGUAGAGGGGGGUAGAAUUCCAGGUGUAGCGGUGAAAUGCGUAGAGAUCUGGAGGAAUACCGGUGGCGAAGGCGGCCCCCUGGACGAAGACUGACGCUCAGGUGCGAAAGCGUGGGGAGCAAACAGGAUUAGAUACCCGUGUAGUC